ACACUCCUACGGGAGGCAGCAGUGGGGAAUUUUGGACAAUGGGCGAAAGCCUGAUCCAGCAAUGCCGCGUGAGUGAAGAAGGCCUUCGGGUUGUAAAGCUCUUUUGUCAGGGAAGAAACGGUGAGAGCUAAUAUCUUUUGCUAAUGACGGUACCUGAAGAAUAAGCACCGGCUAACUACGUGCCAGCAGCCGCGGUAAUACGUAGGGUGCAAGCGUUAAUCGGAAUUACUGGGCGUAAAGCGUGCGCAGGCGGUUUUGUAAGUCUGAUGUGAAAUCCCCGGGCUCAACCUGGGAAUUGCAUUGGAGACUGCAAGGCUAGAAUCUGGCAGAGGGGGGUAGAAUUCCACGUGUAGCAGUGAAAUGCGUAGAUAUGUGGAGGAACACCGAUGGCGAAGGCAGCCCCCUGGGUCAAGAUUGACGCUCAUGCACGAAAGCGUGGGGAGCAAACAGGAUUAGAAACCCGUGUAGUCCCAUG
rnacentral:rRNA from 1 species